GACGUAGGGCGCGAGCGUUGUCCGGAUUUAUUGGGCGUAAAGAGCUCGUAGGCGGCUUGUUGCGUCGACUGUGAAAACCCGCAGCUUAACUGCGGGCCUGCAGUUGAUACGGGCAGGCUAGAGUUCGGUAGGGGAGACUGGAAUUCCUGGUGUAGCGGUGAAAUGCGCAGAUAUCUGGAGGAACACCGGUGGCGAAGGCGGCAUCCUGGACCAAUUCUGACGCUGAGGAGCGAAAGCAAGGGGAGCAAACGGG
rnacentral:rRNA from 1 species